CUGAGGGCCUCCAGGUCUCCUGGCCUGGGAGGAACCCGGGGCCCGCAGGCCAGCCUUCUGCUCAGCCUGGAGACCCAAGCUUUGAGGCCUUGUUCCUUUCGUGAGUUCCCGCCAGUAGGCAGGCUCACGGCAGCUUCUGAGGUAAAGACAAGCCAGGAGCCCAAGGAAGCUGGAGCCAGU